UCCUGAUAAAUUGUUCAUGGAGGAGGAGUAGCUUCUUAUGGAUGAGCAAAGAAAGUGGUUUCUUGAGAUGGAACCUACUCCUGGUGAAAAUGCUGUGGAGAUUGUUGAAAUGACAACAAAGGAUUUAGAAUAUUAUAUAAACUUAGUUGAUAAAGCAGCAGCAGGGUU